rnacentral:rRNA from 1 species
GAUGAACGCUAGCGGCAGGCCUAACACAUGCAAGUCGAGCGGUAGAAGGAGCUUGCUCCUUUGAUACCGGCGCACGGGUGCGUAACGCGUAUGCAAUCUACCUUGUACAGGGGAAUAGCCCAGAGAAAUUUGGAUUAAUGCCCCAUAGUAUAUAACCUUCGCAUGUUGGUUAUAUUAAAGUUCCAACGGUACAAGAUGAGCAUGCGUCCCAUUAGUUAGUUGGUAAGGUAACUGCUUACCAAGACGAUGAUGAGUAGGGGUCAUGAGAGGGAGAUCCCCCAGAAUGGUACUGAGGCACAGACCAGAAUGGUACGGAGGGCAGGAGUGAGGAAUAUAAGUGAAGGGUCGCAAGCCUGAACCAGCCAUGCCGGGUGCAGAAAGACGGUGCUCUGGAUUGUAAACUGCUUUUAAAGAAGAAGAAACCCUGCAACGUGUGGGAGCUUGACGGUACUGUAGGAAUAAGGAACGGCUAACUACGUG